UACGUAGGGUGCAAGCGUUAAUCGGAAUUACUGGGCGUAAAGCGUGCGCAGGCGGUUAUGUAAGACAGAUGUGAAAUGCCCGGGCUUAACCUGGGAAUUGCAUUGGAGACUGCAAGGCUAGAAUCUGGCAGAGGGGGGUAGAAUUCCACGUGUAGCAGUGAAAUGCGUAGAGAUGUGGAGGAACACCGAUGGCGAAGGCAGCCCCCUGGGUCAAGAUUGACGCUCAUGCACGAAAGCGUGGGGAGCAAACAGG
rnacentral:rRNA from 1 species